rnacentral:rRNA from 1 species
GAGUUUGAUCAUGGCUCAGAUUGAACGCUGGCGGCAUGCCUUACACAUGCAAGUCGAACGGCAGCAUGAUCUAGCUUGCUAGAUUGAUGGCGAGUGGCGAACGGGUGAGUAAUACAUCGGAACGUGCCCUGUAGUGGGGGAUAACUAGUCGAAAGAUUAGCUAAUACCGCAUACGACCUGAGGGUGAAAGUGGGGGACCGCAAGGCCUCAUGCUAUAGGAGCGGCCGAUGUCUGAUUAGCUAGUUGGUGGGGUAAAGGCCCACCAAGGCGACGAUCAGUAGCUGGUCUGAGAGGACGAUCAGCCACACUGGGAUUGAGACACGGCCCAGACUCCUACGGGAGGCAGCAGUGGGGAAUUUUGGACAAUGGGCGAAAGCCUGAUCCAGCAAUGCCGCGUGUGUGAAGAAGGCCUGGUUGUAAG